UCCCUGGUGGUCCAGUGGUUAGGACACUGCACUUGGACUGCCGUGGUCCCGGGUUCAAUCACUGGUUGGGGAA